rnacentral:rRNA from 1 species
GGUCAAGUUAUUAAGGGCCCACGGAGGAUGCCUUGGCGUCAAGGGCCGAUGAAGGGCGUAGCACGACUGCGAUAAGCCUCGGGUAGCCGUCAAGCAGGCUUAGCCGGGGAUUCCCGAAUCGGGGAACCGGUCUCGGUGAAGCCGGGACAUCCUCAGCUGAACACAUAGGCUGAGGGGGGUAAGCAGGGGAACUGAAACAUCUCAUUACCCUGAGGAAAAGAAAGCAACCGCGAUUCCCUGAGUAGUGGUGAGCGAAACGGGAACAGCCUAAACCGAUGUUGUUUAGUGGCCUGGGGGCCUAUACGUCAUCGGGGUUGUACGGCGUGUCAGCACGAACCCCAGAUAGUGCACGGAGUUAGCAAUCCAUGGUCUAGCCGAAGGAGCCUGGAAAGGACCGCCAUAGCGGGUGAUAGCCCCGUAGGCGAAAGGCUAUGGACUCCGGAUGCGUUCGUGAGUACCACGGGACACGUGGAAUCCCGUGGGAAGCCGGGGGGACCACCCUCCAAGGCUAAAUACCCUUGACGACCGAUAGCGCACAAGUACCGUGAGGGAAAGGUGAAAAGAACCCCAGAAGGGGAGUGAAAUAGACCUGAAACCGUGGGCCUACAAGCGGUCGGAGUCCGUCUUCGGACGGAUGACGGCGUGCCUAUUGAAGAAUGAGCCGGCGAGUUACUCCUGUGUGGCGAGGUUAAGGGAUGCAGACGUCCCGGAGCCGCAGCGAAAGCGAGUCUGAAUAGGGCGAAGCAGUCGCACGGGGUAGACCCGAAACCGGGUGAGCUACCCAUGGCCAGGGUGAAGCCUCGAUAGUCUCGAGGUGGAGGCCCGAACCCGUAUACGUUGCAAAGUGUUGGGAUGAGCUGUGGGUAGAGGUGAAAUGCCAACCGAACCCGGAGAUAGCUGGUUCUCCCCGAAAUGCAUUGAGGUGCAGCCUUCAGGAAGAGGGACGGAGGUAGGGCUCUGAAUGGGCUAGGGGGUGUGAGCCUACCAAACCCAAUCAAACUUCGAAUGCCGUUCCAUCCAUGCCUGAGGAGUGAGACCGUGGGGGAUAAGCUCCAUGGUCGAGAGGGAAACAGCCCAGACCACCGACUAAGGCCCCUAAAUACAGGCUCAGUGUCAAAGGAAGUAUGGUCGCUUAGACAACCAGGAGGUUGGCUUAGAAGCAGCCACCCUUUAAAGAGUGCGUAAUAGCUCACUGGUCAAGGGACCGUGCGCCGACAAUUUAUCGGGGCUUAAGCCUGUUGCCGAAGUCGUGGCUUCUGCCGUAAGGCGGAGGGGUAGGGGAGCGUUCUCUGUGCACAGAAGUCUGCCUGUGAGGGCAGGUGGAGCGCAGAGAAGUGCGAAUGCCGGCAUGAGUAGCGUAAAGAUGCGUGAGAACCGCAUCCGCCGAAAGUCCGAGGUUUCCUACGCAACGUCGUUCGUCGUAGGGUUAGCCGGACCUAAGCCGAGGCCGCAAGGCGUAGGCGAUGGAGAGCUGGUCAAUAUUCCAGCGCCACCCAUGGAUCGUUUUAAGGCUAAGGAGGGACACGGGAAGCUAGACAGAGCGUGCCUAUUGGACAUGGUGCGUCUGAGCCUGUAGGUGAGCCCGCGGUAGGAAAAUCCGUCGCGGGGUUUGAGCUGAGGGGUAAAGCAACUUCAGGGCCUGGCCCUGGGGAAGUCUGUUGAGGCUACACCGGCAAGAAAAGCUUCGUAGCUAGAGUCAUGGGUGUCCGUACCGCAAACCGACACUGGUGGACUGGUAUAAGAGUACCGAGGCGGACGAGAGAACCAUCCUUAAGGAACUCGGCAAUCUGACUCCGUAACUUUGGGAGAAGGAGUGCCCUGGAGGGUGAAAUCCCUAGCGGAUGGAGCACCUUCGGGGUCGCAGCGAAGAGGCCCUGGUGACUGUUUAACAAAAACACAGGUCCCUGCUCAAGUCGCAAGACGACGUAUAGGGGCUGACGCCUGCCCAGUGCCGGAAGGUCAAGAGGCGCGGUGAGAGCUGCAAAUCGAAGCCCCGGUGAACGGCGGCCGUAACUAUAACGGUCCUAAGGUACCGAAAUCCCUUGUCAGGUAAGUUCUGACCCGCAGGAAAGGCGUAACAACUGGGGCGCUGUCUCAAGGAUGGUCUCGGUGAAAUUGAAGUACGAGUGAAGAUGCUCGUUACCCGCAGCAGGACAAAAAGACCCCGUGGAGCUUUACUGCAACCUGACAUUGAUCCGAGGAUACGGUUGUGUAGGAUAGGUGGGAGGCUAUGAAGCCAGGACGCCAGUUCGGGUGGAGCCAUCGUUGAAAUACCACUCUUCCCUGUUUUUGGAUCUAACCCCUGAACAAGCAGGGGGACCGUGUCUGGCAGGCAGUUUGACUGGGGCGGUCGCCUCCUAAAAGGUAACGGAGGCGUGCAAAGGUCCCCUCAGGGUGGAUGGAAAUCACCCGCAGAGCGCAUUGGUAGAAGGGGGCUUGACUGCGAGGCCAACAAGCCAAGCAGGGACGAAAGUCGGCCAAAGUGAUCCUACGGUCCCGUGUGGAAGGGCCGUGGCUUAUCGGACAAAAGCUACCCCGGGGAUAACAGGCUUAUCUUGCCCAAGAGUUCAUAUCGACGGCAAGGUUUGGCACCUCGAUGUCGGCUCGUCGCAUCCUGGGGCUGAAGAAGGUCCCAAGGGUCCGGCUGUUCGCCGGUUAAAGCGGCACGUGAGCUGGGUUCAGACCGUCGUGAGACAGGUCGGUCUCUAUCCGCUGUGGGCGCAGGAAGUUUGAGAGGAGCUUUCCCUAGUACGAGAGGACCGGGAAGGACGUACCUCUGGUGUUCCGGUUGUCCCGCCAGGGGCACUGCCGGGUAGCUAUGUACGGAACGGAUAAGCGCUGAAAGCAUCUAAGUGCGAAGCCGGCCUCAAGAUGAGACUUCCCACCCCGAGAGGGGGUAAGGCCGCAGAGAGACUAUCUGCUCGAUAGGCCGCAGGUGUAAGCGCAGCAAUGCGUUCAGCUGAGCGGUACUAAUCGGCCGAGGACUUGACCAC